UGGCUCUCGCAUCGAUGAAGAACGCAGCGAAAUGCGAUAAGUAAUGUGAAUUGCAGAAUUCAGUGAAUCAUCGAAUCUUUGAACGCACCUUGCGCCCCUUGGUAUUCCGAGGGGCAUGCCUGUUUGAGUGUCUUGAAAUCUUUGCGCCCGUCGGUUUCGCGACCGUCGGGGCAGACUUGGGGGCGUGCCGGGGUCCGUCCAUCGGGUCCCGGCUCCCCCUAAAUCCAUCGGUUGGGCAUUCGUGUGGCCUUUACCCUCUGGCGUUGUAAUCUCCUCGCCUACGGGUGGCUCGCGGCUUGUAUGUGCCCUCCCACGGCCUCCUCUGGAGCGGUGGCCAAGCUUUUUAAGAUCUGACCUCAAAUCAGGUAGGACUACCCGCUGA
rnacentral:misc_RNA from 1 species